CGAUUUUCCCUGUAUUGCAUCCAACAUGGGCUGGGCCACGAACGGUCGAUGGGUGGAGCCCCAAAUGGGUCGCCCCAGCCGCACGGAAGGCCAUGUUGUUUUUUCUGUUUCCUGUUCUCGUGUUUUGCUUUAUUUGUGUACUUUUCUAUAUAAUUUAAAAUAAAAUAUUAUAUAUAUACAUAUAUAUAUUGUUACUAUUCAUCAUCCAGGGUGCAGAAUAAGUUAUUUAUUCACCUGAGGUAAUCUUACGAUCAUUUCAUAAAUAAAUUACAUUUUAAAUACAAAUAGUUACAUUCAUAUUGAUUUCCUGCAUAAAAGUUGGCAUAACAAAAAAUAUAAGUCAAAAAUUGCAUUUUAUGUAUAUUUUGCACUAUGUUUUUACAUUUGUAAUUUUACGUAACAUAAAAAAUAUUUACGACAAUUAUAGGUUUUCUUACAUUCUCUUUUUUAUGUCUAAAAUAAGACAAAAUUUACGAAACAUAAAAUUGCGGUGUAUAGAUGAUAAAAUAGAGGUGGAUAAAGAAUAACUAUUCCGCACCCAGGGUGACAAAUAGUCAAGGGAUAAAAGCGCGAACCCAAUUGUAAUCCCUUGACUAUUUGUCACCUGGGUGGAAUAACCCCAGCCGUCCCUCGAACCAGACGCCACAGCUACGCGAGAAUAAAAGCGCGAACGUAAAUUUACCUCAUGAAUCGUAAAGUUACAUCAUGGGACCCCACGUAAAAAGAACACCGCGAGAUAAAUUUACCUCGUCUCUACUUCGAAUCAGGAGAAAACCAACUCCAUGGAUCGUGGGAGGGCUCUGCCGUUUUCCACGCCUCUCCUGCAGUCCACCAGCUCUACCCCUGAUUUGUCCAUCGUGCAGCAUGACGGUUCCCCGUAGACCAACGGAGCGGUUCGCUCUAUCCGGUGGCCCGGAGCCGGCUCCGGUGGCUUUGCAGAAGGGAAGAUGUCGUCUAGCCGGCGGGGUCCAGCUGAACUGAAGCAGCGGCGCCAAGUUGGGCCGCGAUCUCAGCGCCAGGGCGGCGCUCGGCGCAUCGACGCACUCCGCGAGCUCGAGCCAUUUUCAUGUCUCUCCUCUCCCAUCCUCACCUCCAUGAUUGGAUCUGGAUCCAAAGAUUCCAUCGGCUGCCGUUGAGUCGUCAUGGUCUAGGACUCCAUCACCACUACACAAUCACAUAUGGAGGCUACUGACUAACUUAUUUGUAGAAUAAAGAGGCCAAUAUAUUUAAUCUUUUUAGGUAUACUUUGGAUUUAAGAAGAAGCUUAAUCAUUGUUAUUUUAUAUAUUUGAUAGUUUUGACAUAAACUCUCUCACAUCUACUCAGUUGAUUUGAUUGGGAAGCUUAACGGUCUAUGCGCUACUCCCUACCACUGUACAGCAGUAUUUUUGGCAGUGUACUAUCCAAUUCUUAGCAUUCUUUUUUCUGGCAAUAACAAACACGGGAAGCCUUAUUUUGAUUUCUGCAAUGUUCAACAUGUUCAACUGGCCAAGAGAAGGAAUUCUUGUUCAACAUGUUCUCAACAUGUUGACUUGAGAUGUUCUCUUUGAGAAAUUAUUGACACAGAGAAGUAAUGACCUUUCUCCAGUUUUGCAUAUUAAGAACUAUUGUUUGCUAAUAUCUCAUCAAUCUUCUUUGAGACAAUUACAGUUUUGUAAAUUUCCAAAUUUAUUGGAGAAAAGAGAUCAAAUUUUUCUUCUCAUUCUCAUGCAGCUUCAGAUGUUUUACCCAUCAGCUUUUGCUAUAGGCUUUUGUACAUGUUAUCUUGCUUACAGCAAGAUCUGCAUCCUUGCAUUGUAGAUGGUAGUUGAACCAACUAAUUCAGUAUGAACUAAUAGUGCAGGGGUUUCUACAGAUGCAGCGCCACCAAGGAAUGUGUUGCGAGGAAGCACGUGUGGAGUGGUGGUGCUGCAACACCAAGAUGCUCGUGUCACCGACUAGAACAAGGCAACAAAAACAAUCAUAUGCAGUCACUCGACCUGUCGAUGCUUGCGCAAAUUCAGAAGCUUAACUGAAUCUGCCAAUGCUAGAAGAAGAUAGAAUAACUCUGAAUUUUUUUUUUUGCGGGGAGAAUAACUCUGAAUUUGUAUGCCAUAUAUGGAACAUGUCAUUCAUCCGAUUUUUGGUUAUUCAUCUGACAAAAUAUCUGGAUGCAAAUGAAAUUUUUAACAAGGCCAAGAUUUCACUGCCGUA